UACGUAGGGUGCAAGCGUUGUCCGGAAUUAUUGGGCGUAAAGAGCUCGUAGGCGGUUUGUUGCGUCGGCUGUGAAAUCCCGAGGCUCAACCUCGGGUCUGCAGUCGAUACGAGCAAACUAGAGUGUUGCAGGGGAGACUGGAAUUCCUGGUGUAGCGGUGAAAUGCGCAGAUAUCAGGAGGAACACCGGUGGCGAAGGCGGGUCUCUGGGCAACAACUGACGCUGAGGCGCGAAAGCUGGGGGAGCGAACAGG
rnacentral:rRNA from 1 species